GGAGGGGGCAAGCGUUGUUCGGAAUUACUGGGCGUAAAGGGCGCGUAGGCGGACGAUCAAGUCAGAGGUGAAAGCCCUGGGCUCAACCUGGGAACUGCCUUUGAAACUGAUAGUCUAGAGUCCGAGAGAGGAUGGCGGAAUUCCCAGUGUAGAGGUGAAAUUCGUAGAUAUUGGGAAGAACACCAGUGGCGAAGGCGGCCAUCUGGCUCGGUACUGACGCUGAGGCGCGAAAGCGUGGGGAGCAAACAGGGAUUAGAUACCCUGGUAGUCCACGCCGUAAACGAUGUGUGCUAGCCCGUUGGGGGAACCCUAGUUUCUCAGUGGCGCAGCUAACGCAUUAAGCACACCGCCUGGGGAGUACGGUCGCAAGAUUAA
rnacentral:rRNA from 1 species